UGGGGAAUUUUGGACAAUGGGCGAAAGCCUGAUCCAGCAAUGCCGCGUGUGUGAAGAAGGCCUUCGGGUUGUAAAGCACUUUUGUCCGGAAAGAAAUCCUUGGCUCUAAUACAGUCGGGGGAUGACGGUACCGGAAGAAUAAGCACCGGCUAACUACGUGCCAGCAGCCGCGGUAAUACGUAGGGUGCAAGCGUUAAUCGGAAUUACUGGGCGUAAAGCGUGCGCAGGCGGUUUGCUAAGACCGAUGUGAAAUUCCCCGGGCUCAACCUGGGAACUGCAUUGGUGACUGGCAGGCUAGAGUAUGGCAGAGGGGGGUAGAAUUCCACGUGUAGCAGUGAAAUGCGUAGAGAUGUGGAGGAAUACCGAUGGCGAAGGCAGCCCCCGGGCAAUACUGACGCUCAUGCACGAAAGCGU
rnacentral:rRNA from 1 species